rnacentral:rRNA from 1 species
AUAUCAAUAAGCGGAGGAAAAGAAACCAACAGGGAUUGCCCUAGUAACGGCGAGUGAAGCGGCAACAGCUCAAAUUUGAAAUCUGGCGUCUUUGGCGUCCGAGUUGUAAUUUGCAGAGGGCGCUUUGGCAUUGGCAGCGGUCCAAGUUCCUUGGAACAGGACGUCACAGAGGGUGAGAAUCCCGUACGUGGUCGCUAGCCUUUACCGUGUAAAGCCCCUUCGACGAGUCGAGUUGUUUGGGAAUGCAGCUCUAAAUGGGAGGUAAAUUUCUUCUAAAGCUAAAUACUGGCCAGAGACCGAUAGCGCACAAGUAGAGUGAUCGAAAGAUGAAAAGCACUUUGGAAAGAGAGUUAAAAAGCACGUGAAAUUGUUGAAAGGGAAGCGCUUGCAGCCAGACUUGCCUGUAGUUGCUCAUCCGGGUUUUUACCCGGUGCACUCUUCUACGGGCAGGCCAGCAUCAGUUUGGGCGGUUGGAUAAAGGUCUCUGUCACGUACCUCCUCUCGGGGAGAUCUUAUAGGGGAGACGACAUGCAACCAGCCUGGACUGAGGUCCGCGCAUCUGCUAGGAUGCUGGCGUAAUGGCUGUAAGCGGCCCGUC